rnacentral:pre_miRNA from 1 species
UCUCUUUUGGUAUUUAAAAGGUAGAUUUUCCUUCUAUGAUUACGUGGUUGAUGGUUGAUCGUAGAGGAAAAUCCACGUUUUCAGUAUCAAAUGCUG